UUGCCUUCUUCAGAUAACUUUCAUGCCUAUCUUCACUGAUUACCCCAAUAAAUCACAGACAGUGUCUCUCUACAGACACAGUUAUAGUCAAUCAGAGGUUCAGUAUUUCUCUGGUUCUUCUCGGUGUUUUUGCUCGUCACCCUUUGUUCCAGUUAUCUGCGUGUGAAAGCAGCUCUGCUCUUCCUCUGGAGGUGUGAGUGGUUUCUGCAGGGUGGUCUGCAGAUCUGCAUCUCUGUGUCGAAGGCGACAGCGUGUCUGUUUGAUCUGAAACGUGUCGGCUUGGACUGAUUUAGCUGUGAGACUCUGUGGUCUCAGUGUUUCCCACCUGCUGGUUUUACUGUUUAAGUUUAUAACAGACUAAACAAAGUGUUAAUGGUUAAAACAUUUAUCUGACGGCUGCAGCUCAUACCAUCUCUCUGUGUUUCACAGAGAAUCCUUCAUCUGCCAUCUACUCAGACGUGAGAACCGACGGGAUCAGUUAUGGACAAAUCAACAUCAGAACCAACAGAACCAACAGAACCAGAGAGGUUCAACCAGAUCCAGACAUCAUCUACUCUUCACUGAGGUAGUCCACCAGUCUGACCUCUGACCUCCAGCUGCUGCUUCUCCUCUUUACUUCACAUGUAGUUAUUUUAUUGCUUCAGCCGACCAUCUGACUUUAACACCAUUCCUCUCUGGAUGUUUAAUAAAAUGUUUCUUUCUCA